rnacentral:rRNA from 1 species
AGAAUAUAGCAAAAACUAAAUUAAUAUUAGUUAUAUACUUUAAAAUUAAAAAAUUUGGCGGUAAUUUAAUCUUUUCAGAGGAACUUGUUUUUUAAUCGAUAACCCACGAAAAAUCUUACUUGUUUUUGUUAUAUUAAAUUCAGUUUGUAUACCAUCAUUAUCAGAUAAUUCUAAAAAGAUAAAUUAUCAAAUAAAAUUAAUUAUUAAAAUUAGAUCAUGGUGCAGCUUAUAAACAAGUUUAAAUGAGUUACAAUAAAUUACUUUAAUAAACGGAUUAAUAAAAAAAAAUUAUUAUGAAGGUGGAUUUGAUAGUAUUAUAAUUUUAAUAAGUUUAUGAGAAAUUGGCUCUAAAUUAUGUACAUAUCGCCCGUCGCUUUCAUUUAUAAAUGAAAUAAGUCGUAACAUA